GUGAGAAGCAGAGAAGGCGACAGAUGCCUUUGGGAUCCUUUCCUUCAGAGAGGGAAGGACCCAUCCAAGUUCACAAGCUUCCCCACCAGCCAGCCGACCUCCUAUGACCACCUUUCUGGAUCUACAGUGUCACUGUCCAGCCUGAUGCCCAGCCAGUUGUCAGUCAUUCGGGCUAAAAUAUGGAAGAGCUGUGUUGGAAACUAGAGUAUUUUUGCAGAAGGGGUAACGCACGAGGCUGUGUGCUGGGACACAAGACAGGGCGAUGGCAUUUUUGUUCAUCCUGCCACUGACUUCAAGCCCUGGUCACAACAAAAGGACUUUUGGAAAUUAUUGGAUCCUAUGAACUCUUAGUUCUUACGUAUCUGCUCCAAAGCAGGGGCAUUGUCCAAUUAAUAUUUCAACAGCGUGUCCUGCUGGGAGCCACGUACAAAGAAAUCAGGGUCCCUUCUCCGAGUUCCAGCUACAGAACUCCAAAGAGGACGUUUUCACACAUUCUCAUAGAGAGAACUAUCGUCAACUAUAAAAGAACUGCCUCAGGUGACAAGUGCAGUGUCACACCCUUAGGGAAUAAAAUUCUGGAAUGAACUGAAUCCUGGGAGUUGAAUCAAUAAAUUUAGAGAAGCGAGGAAACGGAACAGACAGCUUUCUUUAUUGAAAUGAAGGGAGGGGAGAGCUUUGCAGUGGACACAGGUGUCUGUCAUGGACAGAGAUUAAAGUAAGUCAGCCAGGUCUCAAAAUAGGGACAGGAACACGUAUUUUCCACAACAAUGGUU